AGACGGGGUCAGCUACACACACCUGGAGUCAAGAUAUGCUGAUGUCAGCAUGAUGGAUUCAGAGAUGCCUGUCCAAGCUCCCACAGUUAGCGGAGCUAACAGCUACGGCUAACUGGGAGGAGCCCAGAACACACAGGAACUACGGUCAACAUCCGCCUCCAGGCAGGACUGAACCAGCAACGCAACGGCGCCAGCAACUAUCACCAAGUUGCCUUGUGCACAAAAUGCAUGAUACAGGAACCAACCUGCAGGGGGCGCAACUGAGGGAAAAGAGAAAACUGCUGCACAACUAUAUUAGAUAAAGAUUUAAUCUUGACAGGAAUUCUUUAAGAAACAUAUUCCAGGCAUAAAGAUCAGAGUUCUGAAAUAUUUAGACCAGCUUACAGGCAGCUGGGUCGUUGAUUCUCAUCUCCCUUCUCUUCCCCUUGUGGGAUUUCUCCCAUUGAGAUCAAUUUCUCCAGUAGAAUUUCACUGAGCCAAUCAGUGACCAGACGUUGUGAACGAUGAUGUAAAGUUUCUGCGCUGUUUUAGAAUUUCAGCAGCAGAGGAAAUGAAGUCCAAACAUUGAGGAUUUGAAGUCGGAGCAACAGGAACGUUUAAGAUGUUUAUUGCUAGCAAAGAUGUUUGACUCGGCUCUUCUGCCUCUGUAGUGGAAGGACGGUUGUUGACAGAACAGGCAACUUCCAGUUAGCUUCCUAGCGGUGAAGCUAGCUGCAAAACGUCACAGCCAAACUGUAGCGCUUGAGUCAAAUCAGAUUCAGUCGUUUAAAAAUUUAACGAUGGCAUUUGACUUAAUGUCUCCUUCUGGAGGCCUUAAAAUUUUAAUUGAUUAUGUUUCCAUAGCAACUGGUUUCAGUCUGCAUUACAGGAACUCAGGGUUUCAGCUGGUUUUCAGUUUUCUGGAAGUUUGUUCCAGAUCUGUGGUGCAUAGAAGCUGAAUGCUGCUUCUCCAUGUUUGGUUCUGGUUCUGAUGCAGAACAGAACCAGAACCAGCAGGUUGAUCCAGCAGCAGAUUUUAAUCUCUUAAUGAUUUAUAAACUACCAGCAGUUUAAAGUCUCAGUGAAGGAAUGUAGAACUGGAUGGUGUAGAACUAGGUGGUGUAGAACUAGGUGAUGUAGAACUAGAACUAGGUGAUGUAGAACUAGGUGGUGUAGAACUAGGUGGUGUAGAACUAGGUGGUGUAGGUACUGGUUCCGGCCCGCUCCGUUAACAGAACCUGAGUUAACAUCUGCAAGAACCAGAAACAUUUACUCCAACAUGUUAACACUGUUAUGGCCAAUAAUCAAUAUUCACUAACUGUAAGUCAUUCAAUUGUCAUUGUUGGCAGGAACUAAUGGCUUACGUAAACACAGGGUCAAAGGUCAAACCUCCAGGUGUUAUUAGGGACUUUGCUCUUCUGUUUAUCACAGCUAGUGGACUGUUUAUCAGGAACGAGCAGCAGAGAUCCGAACUGGGCCUGAAACCGCUGAUGAUGAUGAUGAUGAUGAUGAAGAAGCUGGAAGCUGAACUGGUUUCUACAGAGUCAGACUGGGAGGAACAAUUGAAAUGUUUGGGAGUAGAAACAUCUCAGCCGCCGGUUUCCAUCCAGAACUCUCCAGAACUUUCCACUUUCCUCUGAACCAUUAAAACGCUCACAGAUGAAGCGAUAAACCGGAUCCGUCUUUUCUUCAGUUCUGGUUCUGCUGCAGCCGGAGGACAAACAGGAUGGAAGAACUCUGAGGCUGCAGAUUCAGAACAGCAGCGACUGCUUCCCUUCAACACGACUCCUAAAGACGAUUAGAGCUCCGAUUCUGGAGGCGACAUGGAGGAACCCAUCUGUAGGUGAAAGUUUAUUUCAGGGCGGCGUGCGCCAGCUCAAACCAAACACAGCGCUGAGAGCAGCUCCAUAUUUGGAGCUGAGCAGCUGUUGUGUUGCAACAUCACAAACCAUCAGGCUGCAGCCCGGACGCCUCCGAGACGCUGGAAUGACGGCAGAUCAGAGAUAAGCAGGAGGCGGGUUCUGCACCAGGGGGGCAACAAGGGGGGGGGGCAACAAGGGGGGGGGGCAACAAGGGAGGGGGCAACAAGGGGGGGGCAACAAGGCUCAGAUUCUUUACAGCAGACAGACGUUCUGCAGUCGUCCACGUCUGAUUAUUAGUCUCCUGUUUGGGCCAGGAAGCAUCAGGAGAACCAGCCCGUCUGCUGGCCCACUUCCUGGUGCCGGUCAGGUUCUGGAGUCAGAUCAGAGACGUUGUGACGUCGGUUUAAAUUCUUCAGAACCGAGAUUUCCACAGCAAACAGAUGUUUUAAUGCAUCAGAAAAACAGAGAGUGACUGAGAGUCACUGCGCGCAAAACAAACCCUGUAAAUUCUCGACACUAACAGGAACCAUAGAAUUACACAGAAACCUGUGAGAGGAGAACGGAGCUGGAAGGAUGUUUACUGGUUCUGAACUGAUCCUGAGUGGGAAUGAAAACAGCAGCAGCUCUAGACCCAACGCCCGGAUCCACUGAGCAGCAGGCGGUUUGGUCAGUCGAAACCAGGACCCAGAGUUCUGAUGGUUCUGCCAGCCAACCGGACUCCAUGCGCUCCGUUUGAAUCCACACUGCGCCUCGUCCAGCUCCUUCCACAGAGUUACCAGAAAGUCCUCAUAUUCCCUCACUGAUGUAUCAGGAAAGAUUCAAUAUUUCAUAAUCCCGUUUGUCAGACGCUCUUCAAAAUUUGUCUCCAUUUGAUGUUGGACUCGGAGCCGCAGCUCAACAGCAUCAGAACGUUUUGAUGGAACCGAACAGCUUCCUGUGUGACGCUUAAAACCCGCCGUAAACAGACAGAAACCUCGACCAGCCACGCACCGCCGCCAUGACGCGCCGCCGCCGCCAUGACGCGCCGCCGCCGCCAUGACGCACCGCCGCCAUGACGCGCCACCGCCGCCAUGACGCACCGCCGCCGCCAUGACGCGCCGCCGCCGCCAUGACGCACCGCUGUGCUGCAGCCGUCGAGCUGCAGGUUCCUGUGGGAUCAGGAAUUCCCUCGUUCAGAGUCCAGCCAACAUCUGAUCACUUCAAGUGGAGAAAUGCUCCCCGAUUUCAAAACUUUAGCUGAUGCUGCUUGUAGUUCCUGUUUGUAGUUUGGCGCUGAACCUCCUGACUCUAAUCUCUGCAGCCGAGACCUUUAAUGUGAUUAAUUAUACGUAACUCCUGUGGUUCUAUGAAUACAUGAUGGUGAAUGUGUGAUGUGGAUUCUCUGUUCAGCUUGUUUAUUAUUUUCUUUAAAAAUGAAUAAACAUAGAUAUAACUGAAGAUGUCAUUAUUAUUUUGCAUGAAAAUUGUUUAUGACCCCUGUCUUUCUUUUCUUUGGUGCUGAUUGGUUGAACCUCCAUAAAAACAGACAAUGAAAACUGGAGAUGCUGGUUUCUGUGGUU